GAAGAUAAGACUGUAAAAGGAAAUGGAUUUCUUCUAUAUAUUUUUGAUAUAGCAUCUCUUCUCUAUAUUGAGUAAUCAUUAUCGAUACUGUUUUACCUUCUUCUCUUUGUAUCGUUGGGCUUUGUGUGAAACAAAAUGUAAGGGCCAACUAUUCUGUUUAACCAUGGCUUAGCGUCAGCUUUUGAGCUUGCUUUUGCUCUCGUUUUUUCCAUCGUGGUGUUCGGGGGCAAAAAGCCAUAUCACAGUGGG
rnacentral:lncRNA from 1 species